AUCAACGAGCAAUCCCGAACACAACAUCGCCGACGAUCCAGUCCAGAAUGCCCUCCAGAGAAGCAACGCAUGCCGGGUCCUGGUACUCAGACCACGAGCCAACCCUCUCGAGCCAGCUGGAGAAAUGGCUUGCUCAGGUCCCAGACGAGCUGCCCGGCAUCGGCCGACUUCCCAUCGCGGGAGCUAGAGUCAUCAUUGCACCUCACGCUGGCUACGCAUACUCUGGACCG
rnacentral:sRNA from 1 species